CGUGGCGUAGUACAUCAAGAAUUCUUGCCACAAGGCCGUAUGGUCAAUAAAGAGCGUUACCUUGAAGUUAUGCGCCAUUUGCGAGAACCAAUAACAGGAAAAUGUCUGGAAUUGUGGGAAAACAAUUCAUGGAUUUUGCAUGACGAUAAUGCACCUGCUCAUUCAUCGUUGCUUGUGUCUUUGUCUAAUUUUUUUGCCAAAAACAAAACCCCAGCCACCAUAUUCACCGGAUAUGGCCCCUGUGACUUUUUCCUGUUCCCAAAACUCAAAAAACCCAUGAAAGGAAGGAGGUUUGGAAUUAUUGAGGAGAUAAAGAAGAAAUCGCUGGAAGAACUCAAGGCUAUACCAGAAAAUGCUUACCACAAGUACUCCGAGGAUUGGAAAAAACGUGGGGCAUUUCUCUGCUAUCGUUGUCACCAGACAUCCAAAACCUGCAACGAAGGUGACGUCAGAUCUCUUCAAAAAACAAAUUGCCCAGAAAAAGCCUGUGCGGUUCUCAAAUAUGAAACUUGGAUGCCGGGGAAAAGAGUGUUAGCAACAAUCCGAGGAUGCGCUUCGGAAGCAAAGAAGGAACUCCAAUCUAGAAUCUCGAAGCCCUCGAACGACACCUUCGUCCACGAAUGCAACACUGAUCUGUGUAACUCAUCAACAAAAAUAUAUUCCCCGCUUUACUUAGCCAUACUCGGAAACAUUAUACAGCUUAUACUGUGUGUACGGUGAUAAGAGGAUUUAUACAUUUCAAAUAAAAUAAAUUGUUUUUAUUGCGUUUUGUAAAAGUCACAAUUAACAACGAGAUCCCAUGUUCCUGCUGUACGACUAAUAUUAAAAAUUAUUUUGAUGUGUGUUACCACAUUGCUAUCAGCCAUACCUACGGUAAAAAUUGAUACACCUCAGGUGGCUAUGAUAUUUUCGCACGACACUUUACGCGUUCAGUGACUCGGGCUGAGAUAAUUUUACGGCUCUCUGGACAAGAGAGUUGAUAACCGAUGACAUCUAAUGGGGAUUCUUGAUCAUGAGGCCAAAUAAUAAAAGCAUCAUCGACGUAGUGUUUCCGUAAUUCAAAGGCUCAUAAAUAUAUUCGCAAUGACUGGUGAUAAUGGAGAACCCAUAGCUGUUCCCGACGUUUGUUCAAAAAUUUGACUGUUAUAAGAAAAAUAUGGUUCAGACAAGCAUUUUUCGAUUAAGGAAUAGGGACUUCAGUAAAGAGGGAUUCUACGUCGAAACUAACCAGCAUCUUAUGGAACUAAUGUAAUGCUUUUUAAAAGUGCAAUGAAAUUAAAGGAAUUAAGUACGAAACUAUCAGUUUUUCCUGUAAAGGGUUUUAAUAUAGAAGCUAGAUAUUUUGCUAGAGAAUAUGUUGGAGAACCAAUGCUGGUUUGUGAAUUUUAGGGAGUUUGUAGAGACGAGGAAUUUUAGAGUCAUGAGAGGUGACAGACUUUUCAACAGAUUUAAGUUUGCGUUGGGUAGAUGGAAGAUCAAUCUUUUCCUCCUAUUCAUUAGUGUUCAUAACCACCGUAGCAUAUUAUUUAUCUGCUUUUAGCAUUACGAUGUCUGGAUCAGUAAAAUCUAGCAAGUUCGACUCAACAACA